rnacentral:rRNA from 1 species
CUCUCCCUCUGGCGGCAGGCCUAACACAUGCAAGUCGAACGAACCUUUCGGGGUUAGUGGCGGACGGGUGAGUAACACGUGGGAACGUGCCUUUAGGUUCGGAAUAACUCAGGGAAACUUGUGCUAAUACCGAAUGUGCCCUUCGGGGGAAAGAUUUAUCGCCUUUAGAGCGGCCCGCGUCUGAUUAGCUAGUUGGUUGAGGUAAUGGCUCACCAAGGCGACGAUCAGUAGCUGGUCUGAGAGGAUGAUCAGCCACAUUGGGACUGAGACACGGCCCAAACUCCUACGGGAGGCAGCAGUGGGGAAUCUUGCGCAAUGGGCGAAAGCCUGACGCAGCCAUGCCGCGUGAAUGAUGAAGGUCUUAGGAUUGUAAAAUUCUUUCACCGGGGACGAUAAUGACGGUACCCGGAGAAGAAGCCCCGGCUAACUUCGUG